rnacentral:rRNA from 1 species
UACGGGGGGGGUAAGCGUUGUUCGGAAUUACUGGGCGUAAAGGGCUCGUAGGCGGCCAACUAAGUCAGACGUGAAAUCCCUCAGCUUAACUGGGGAACUGCGUCUGAUACUGGAUGGCUUGGAUCCGGAAGAGGGAUGCGGAAUUCCAGGUGUAGCGGUGAAAUGCGUAGAUAUCCGGAAGAACACCGGAGGCGAAGGCGGCUUGCUGGGCGUGAUCUGACGCUGAGGCGCGAAAGCGUGGGGAGCGAACAGG